GGUCUCCUGGCGACGACGAUGGCGGGGAUGUGGGCGGUCGCAGCUGCACGGACUCGGAAUGCUGCUGCAUCCGGAGCUGCUGUCUCAGGAGUUCCUUCUCCUCACUCUAGAGCAGAAGAACAUAGCUGUUGAAAAUGACGUAAGAAUAAACAAAGACAAUCUUACUGACCUUUAUGUCCAGCAUGCAAUACCAUUGCCUCAGAGGGAUCUGCCAAAGAAUAGAUGGGGGAAAAUGAUGGAAAAGAAAAGAGAACAACAUGAAAUAAAAAAUGAGACUA